ACGGGAGGCAGCAGUGAGGAAUAUUGGUCAAUGGACGGGAGUCUGAACCAGCCAAGUAGCGUGAGGGAUGACGGCCAUAUGGUUGUAAACCUCUUUUGCGAGGGAAUAAAGUGCGUCACGUGUGGUGCAUUGCAUGUACCUUGCGAAUAAGGAUCGGCUAACUCCGUGCCAGCAGCCGCGGUAAUACGGAGGAUCCGAGCGUUAUCCGGAUUUAUUGGGUUUAAAGGGUGCGCAGGCGGCACGUUAAGUCAGCGGUGAAAUGCAGGGGCUCAACCCCGGCACUGCCGUUGAAACUGGCGAGCUCGAGUACGGAUGAAGUCGGCGGAAUGUGAUGUGUAGCGGUGAAAUGCUUAGAUAUGUCACAGAACACCGAUUGCGAAGGCAGCUGACUAAUCCGCAACUGACGCUCAGGCACGAAAGCGUGGGGAUCGAACAGGAUUAGAUACCCUGGUA
rnacentral:rRNA from 1 species